rnacentral:rRNA from 1 species
UGUUGUUGGGUAGGGGAGCGUUCUGUAAGCCUGUGAAGGUGGCCUGUGAGGGUUGCUGGAGGUAUCAGAAGUGCGAAUGCUGACAUAAGUAACGAUAAAGCGGGUGAAAAGCCCGCUCGCCGGAAGACCAAGGGUUCCUGUCCAACGUUAAUCGGGGCAGGGUGAGUCGACCCCUAAGGCGAGGCCGAAAGGCGUAGUCGAUGGGAAACGGGUUAAUAUUCCCGUACUUGGUGUUACUGCGAAGGGGGGACGGAGAAGGCUAUGUUGGCCGGGCGACGGUUGUCCCGGUUUAAGCGUGUAGGUGUGUGUUCCAGGUAAAUCCGGUUCACUUUAACACUGAGGCGUGACGACGAGGCACUACGGUGCUGAAGCAACAAAUGCCCUGCUUCCAGGAAAAGCCUCUAAGCAUCAGGUAACAUCAAAUCGUACCCCAAACCGACACAGGUGGUCAGGUAGAGAAUACCAAGGCGCUUGAGAGAACUCGGGUGAAGGAACUAGGCAAAAUGGUGCCGUAACUUCGGGAGAAGGCACGCUGACACGUAGGUGAAGUGAUUUACUCAUGGAGCUGAAGUCAGUCGAAGAUACCAGCUGGCUGCAACUGUUUAUUAAAAACACAGCACUGUGCAAACACGAAAGUGGACGUAUACGGUGUGACGCCUGCCCGGUGCCGGAAGGUUAAUUGAUGGGGUCAGCGCAAGCGAAGCUCCUGAUCGAAGCCCCGGUAAACGGCGGCCGUAACUAUAACGGUCCUAAGGUAGCGAAAUUCCUUGUCGGGUAAGUUCCGACCUGCACGAAUGGCGUAAUGAUGGCCAGGCUGUCUCCACCCGAGACUCAGUGAAAUUGAACUCGCUGUGAAGAUGCAGUGUACCCGCGGCAAGACGGAAAGACCCCGUGAACCUUUACUAUAGCUUGACACUGAACAUUGAGCCUUGAUGUGUAGGAUAGGUGGGAGGCUUUGAAGCGUGGACGCCAGUCUGCGUGGAGCCGACCUUGAAAUACCACCCUUUAAUGUUUGAUGUUCUAACGUGGACCCGUAAUCCGGGUUGCGGACAGUGUCUGGUGGGUAGUUUGACUGGGGCGGUCUCCUCCUAAAGAGUAACGGAGGAGCACGAAGGUUGGCUAAUCCUGGUCGGACAUCAGGAGGUUAGUGCAAUGGCAUAAGCCAGCUUGACUGCGAGCGUGACGGCGCGAGCAGGUGCGAAAGCAGGUCAUAGUGAUCCGGUGGUUCUGAAUGGAAGGGCCAUCGCUCAACGGAUAAAAGGUACUCCGGGGAUAACAGGCUGAUACCGCCCAAGAGUUCAUAUCGACGGCGGUGUUUGGCACCUCGAUGUCGGCUCAUCACAUCCUGGGGCUGAAGUAGGUCCCAAGGGUAUGGCUGUUCGCCAUUUAAAGUGGUACGCGAGCUGGGUUUAGAACGUCGUGAGACAGUUCGGUCCCUAUCUGCCGUGGGCGCUGGAGAACUGAGGGGGGCUGCUCCUAGUACGAGAGGACCGGAGUGGACGCAUCACUGGUGUUCGGGUUGUCAUGCCAAUGGCACUGCCCGGUAGCUAAAUGCGGAAGAGAUAAGUGCUGAAAGCAUCUAAGCACGAAACUUGCCCCGAGAUGAGUUCUCCCUGAGACUUAGGUCUCCUGAAGGAACGUUGAAGACGACGACGUUGAUAGGCCGGGUGUGUAAGCGCAGCGAUGCGUUGAGCUAACCGGUACUAAUGAACCGUGAGGCUUAACCUUAC